GACCUGGUGGUGUAGUGGUAACACAGUUGCUCAAGGUAGUCCAUAUCUGGUUCUAUAUGCAAGAGAUCCUUGUUCAACUCAGGGUUGGGUCA